AGCACGUGGGAAACCUGACCCAGAAGCGGGGGAUAACACCGUGGAAACAGAUGCUAAUACCGCAUAACAACUUGGACCGCAUGGUCCGAGUUUGAAAGAUGGCUUCGGCUAUCACUUCUGGAUGGUCCCGACGGCGUAUUAGCUAGAUGGUGAGGUAACGGCUCACCAUGGCAAUGAUACGUAGCCGACCUGAGAGGGUAAUCGGCCACAUUGGGACUGAGACACGGCCCAAACUCCUACGGGAGGCAGCAGUACGGGAAUCUUCCACAAUGGACGAAAGUCUGAUGGAGCAACAGCCGCGUGAGUGAAGAAGGGUUUCGGCUCGUAAAACUCUGUUGUUAAAGAAGAACAUAUCUGAGAGUAAACUGUAUCAGGUAUUGACGGUAUUUAACCANGANAAGCCACGGCUAACUACGUGCCU
rnacentral:rRNA from 1 species